rnacentral:rRNA from 1 species
GACAUACACCGGAACGGGCGGUGAAAGCGUCCGGCCCCGUUCCGGGGCCGGUGUACAGGUGCUGCAUGGCUGUCGUCAGCUCGUGCUGUGAAGUGUUGGGUUAAGUCCCCGCAACGAGCGCAACCCCUGCUAUCUGUUGCCAGCAAGUGAUGUUGGGGACUCAGAUGGAACUGCCGGUGACAAACCGGAGGAAGGUGGGGACGACGUCAAGUCAUCAUGGCCCUUAUGUCCUGGGCUACACACGUGCUACAAUGGCCGGUACAGAGCGCAGCUAGGCCGCGAGGCGGAGCGAAUCGCGAAAAGCCGGUCUCAGUACGGAUUGGAGUCUGAAACCCGACUCCAUGAAGUUGGAAUCGCUAGUAAUCGCGCAUCAGCAUGGCGCGGUGAAUACGUUCCCGGGCCUU